CCUACGGGAGGCAGCAGUGAGGAAUAUUGGUCAAUGGGCGCGAGCCUGAACCAGCCAAGUAGCGUGAAGGAUGACUGCUCUACGGGUUGUAAACUUCUUUUAUAAAGGAAUAAAGUGAGGCACGUGCGCCUUUUUGUAUGUACUUUAUGCAUAAGGAUCGGCUAACUCCGUUACAGCAGCCGCGGUAAUACGGCGGAUCCGAGCGUUAUCCGGAUUGAUUGGGUUUAAAGGGAGCGUAGAUGGGUUGGUAAGUCAGUUGUGAAAGUUUGCGGCUCAACCGUAAAAUUGCAAUUGAUACUGGCAGUCUUGAGUACAGUUGAGGUAGGCGGAAUUCGUGGUGUAGCGGUGAAAUGCUUAGAUAUCACGAAGAACUCCGAUUGCGAAGGCAGCUUACUAAACUGUGACUGACAUUGAGGCUCGAAAGUGUGGGGAUCAAACAGGAUUAGAUACCCCAGUAGUC
rnacentral:rRNA from 1 species